UUAUGUACUCCUAAUAUAAUAAAUUGAAAAUGUAUAUAAAAUAAUUAUUUUUUUUUUGUUCACUUUUAUAGAGAAAAUGUAUUUAAGUCACCUUUUUAUAAAAACGUCUAAUAAAAUAAAUGUACAGAAUUUUUAUUGAUUUAAUUUUUUAUUUAAAUAAUUAAUCUUAAAUAUUAUCAAAAAAAACAAAAUAAUAAUAAUAAUGAACAGUAGAAUAUUAAGAGUUCAUGUAAUCCCAGUAGAAGACUGCUUCGUUCAUUUGUCAUCUAGUCUAAUUCGAGAACUUAAAAUAUUAUAUCCCAGUCACAAAGCUUGUUUAAAAGUAUCAACAAUUGAUAAAAAGCCAGGAAAACAAGAAUUUUUUACCUCUUAUUGUCAAACUCCAUUCAAUUCCAAUGGAAACGAAGCACUUAAUAUCAGUCAUGAAAUGUUAUCUGCCUUACAACUUCAAGAAUCUGAUCUUGUUACAGUUGCUAUUUUUGAUCAGAUAUCUUCAUUAGAAAGAAUAUAUGUAACACCUCUUACUAAUGAUGAUUGGGACCUACUAAUGUUGAACAAUGUUUCUCUUCAAGAUAAUAUUCUACAACAACUACAAAUAGUAUAUAAUAAACAAAUCUGUCCCAUUUGGGUAUCAAAAUUUGUACAUUUAAAGAUAAUUAUUGAUAAUAUAGGCGAAGGCCUCCAUGUUGGAUUAUUAAAAGAUUCAACAGAAAUAGUUGUUCAGCCAAAAUCUUUAAUUUCAUCUUAUAAUAAUAAUGUUAAAAUUAAUUUUUCCAAUCAAAAUUCCAGUUCUAAUAUUGCACACUCUAAUAGUUCGUGUAUAAAUUGUGAAAAAUUUAUUUUCCGGACGAUUCCAAUUGAACUAAUAUUAUUAGAAUAUGAUAAUAUUUACGAUUAUUCUGUGUUUAUUUCUAAAGAUCAUUUGAUUAAAUUAUUUCCUCAUGCAAUUAGUUUUACAUGUGGAGUUUUUUUUGUUGAAAUAAAGUUGUUACCUAAAAAAGUUGAAGUAGAGAAUAAAAGUUUAAAAGUUCUUGAGAAAAAUAGUUCUCCAAGCAAAAACAGUGUUGUUGUAGGUUUAUGUCCUUUAAUUAAAUCUAUGAGUAAUUAUAAAAAAAUAAAACAUUUGGUUUGGCCUACUAUAUAUGUAACAAAAGGUUUAAGUAAAUCAUUAGACUUGAAAGUUAAUUCAAAAGUUUUACUAGAACCAAUAAAUUCUGUUAAUGAUGAUAUUUGCAAUAUUCAAAAUGUUUUUAUAAAUUUAACUAAAGAUCAAAAAAAUUUUGAUGAAGACAAAAUAUUGAAAAAGUUUGUUACUCAAUUAAACAAUCAAAUAAAAUUUCAAAAAUGUUUAGCUAUCAAUAACUUAUCAUCAAUAAGAAUUUCAAAUAACGCAAUACCACCCAUUGAGAUAAUUUUGUCAUUUUCACCAAAAAGAAUACCUUAUUUGUUUAUCAAUGAAUAUAAUUUUGGAAUGCUAACAUUCAAUUAUAAUUACAUAGAUGAUGAUUUUAGUGUUAAAUUAAAAACCGAGGAUAACCAAAGUCAAGUUAUCGAAAACAAUUUUUCUUUGAAACAAGACUUUUUUGAUCUAAAAUGUUUUGAUGAAAUAAAGUUAAGUGGACUACUGUGUUUAGAACUUGGUUUGAAGUGUCAAGAUAAUUUAUCUUGUAGUCUUUUCUCUGCUGACAAUUUGUUAAUCAUAGGACCUAUUGCUGCAGGAAAAACAACAACUGCAAAAUAUUUUUGUGAUAAAUUUUUCAGUAGUCCAUAUUUUGUAAAAAUAAUUUGGGUAAAUGGACGUUUUUUAGCAGGAAAACUUAUGGACACUGUUUUCAAACAAAUGGUGAGUCAUUUUGAAGAGUGCUUGUAUUAUCAACCAGCAAUUAUAGUAAUCGAUGAUUUUGAUGAUUUAUGCCAUUUAAACUCUGAACCAAAUGAACAUGCAGAAAUGGCAAAUAUUUAUUUAAGGCCUCUACAUUUAAUGAUGAAAAUGAUUGAUUGUUAUACUAGUGGACAAAACUGUAUUAGAGUAAUAUGUACUUCAAAACCAUUUAGUCAAGAUAAUCAAAAUUUAUUUAAUAAACAAUUCAUAGAUGUUUUCAAAACUGUAAUAAAUAUUCCUAAAAUCGAUAAGGAGAGCAAAAAAAUAAUUGUAUCAAGAUGUUUAGCUAGAAUUAAACAAAAAGAUGAUGUUGAUGAAGAUUUUAUUAUGCAGCUUUGUGAAAAAAUGGAUUCUUAUGUCAUUCAAGAUAUUUUAGAUUAUUGUGAUAAAGUUUUAUUUGAAGUUUUUAAAAGCGAUGAAAAAAAAUUGAAUAAAACAAUUUUAACUGACAUUUUUGAAAAAACUGUACCUCUUUCACUGCAUAAUGUAAAAUUGUUUAAAGAAAAUAAAAUAAAUUAUUCACUAGUUGGUGGUUUAAUAGAAGCAAAACAAAUAUUAACUGAAACAAUCAUUUGGCCUUCAAUUCACUCUGAUAUUUUUAGUAAGUGCCCUCUUAAACUACAAUCUGGUAUUUUAUUAUAUGGUGCACCAGGUACAGGCAAGACAUUAUUAGCUAAAGCGGUUGGUGGAGAGAGCCGAUUGAAUUUUAUAUCUGUUAAUGGACCAGAAUUACUUUCAAAAUACGUUGGAGAAAGCGAAGAAAGUGUUAGGAGGGUAUUUCUUAGAGCUCAGAAUGCUAGACCUUGUAUAUUAUUUUUUGACGAAUUUGAAAGUGUAGCACCAAGACGAGGUUCAGAUCAAACUGGCGUAACUGAUCGAGUCGUUAAUCAGUUUCUCACACAAUUAGAUGGUAUUGAUACGUUUGAAGGUGUAUGGGUAAUAGCUGCAACUUCAAGGCCAGACCUCAUUGAUUCUGCAUUAUUAAGACCUGGUCGAAUUGGUGUAAAAUUACACUGUUCUAUUCCUGAUAAAAAUGACAGAGAGGAUAUUUUAAAAAUAAUCUGUAAAAAUGUAAAUUUGUCUGAAGACGUUAAAUUGAAUGUAAUAGCUGAUCAUACUGUAAAUUAUACUGGAGCAGAUUUGAAUGGAUUAUUGUACACCGUUUUAUCAAUAGCAGAUAAACAUUUUGAAAGUGAAAAAGAAUUGGAUGAUCUGUAUAAUAAAAAAAUGAUGCCUACUAAUGAGGAAGUAUCGUCUAUUGGAGGGCAAAGAUUUACCAUUACCGAACUCAUCAUGCGGUUGUUUGGGCCUCAAUAUUCGUCUCAUCGCUUGUCUGUAGAAUAGCACACUUGAUGUGUUGUAAUUAAAUCCUUUUAUGUACCGGUACUUGUCGCGAUCGUGUUUUUACGAGUACUUUGUUCGAAUUUUAAAAUUACUGCGGAACAUUUUCGAUUAGCCUUGGAACAAACUAAGCCAUCAUUAAGUAAAACAGAAAUUGACAAAUAUAAACGAA